UACAGAGGUCUCAAGCGUUGUUCGGAUUCAUUGGGCGUAAAGGGUGCGUAGGUGGCGUUAUAAGUCAGGUGUGAAAUCUCGGAGCUCAACUCCGAAACUGCACUUGAUACUGUAAUGCUCGAGUACUGGAGAGGAGAUUGGAAUUUACGGUGUAGCAGUGAAAUGCGUAGAUAUCGUAAGGAAGACCAGUGGCGAAGGCGAAUCUCUGGACAGUUACUGACACUGAGGCACGAAGGCCAGGGGAGCAAACGGG
rnacentral:misc_RNA from 1 species